rnacentral:sRNA from 1 species
GAUACCAGGGUUCCAAGGUCUUUACCCACUUGAGCUUGCUCAAAAGUAGGUAACAGACCUUGGAACCCGCCCAAAUAUGAGCACAUCGUGGGACGCCAGUCCCACACAGAUAUGCGAAUAUUUGGUAGGAUUGUGAGAGCACCGAAGGUGCGGAACAAUCCGUGGGU